CAAAAAAAUCGGGCCCCGUCUCGCGACGAGGCCCUUCAUGGGAGAGGAGAAACCGGACGAAGAGCUUAUGGGGAAGCGUAAGCUUGCUCCGCGG
rfam:Paenibacillus sabinae T27, complete genome.